rnacentral:rRNA from 1 species
UACGGGGGGGGCAAGCGUUGUUCGGAAUUACUGGGCGUAAAGGGCUUGUAGGCGGCCAACUAAGUCAGACGUGAAAUCCCUCGGCUUAACCGGGGAACUGCGUCUGAUACUGGAUGGCUUGAGUUCGGGAGAGGGAUGCGGAAUUCCAGGUGUAGCGGUGAAAUGCGUAGAUAUCUGGAGGAACACCGGUGGCGAAGGCGGCAUCCUGGACCGACACUGACGCUGAAAAGCGAAAGCGUGGGGAGCAAACAGG